GACAGAGGUCCCGAGCGUUAGGCGGAAUCACUGGGCUUAAAGCGUGUGUAGGCGGAUUUGUAAGUACCUUGUGAAAUCCCACGGCUCAACCGUGGAACUGCUUGGUAUACUGCUUAUCUUGGGCCAUCUAGGGGCUACCGGAACAAGUGGUGGAGCGGUGAAAUGCGCAGAUAUCAGGAGGAACACCGGUGGCGAAGGCGGGUCUCUGGGCCGAUACUGACGCUGAGGAGCGAAAGCGUGGGGAGCGAACAGG
rnacentral:rRNA from 1 species